GGAUGUGAGGGCGAUCUGACUGCGACAUCUGUCACCCAUUGAUUGCCAUGGUUGAUUCGGCCGAUCUAGCUGUCUAGGAUGAUGUCCCCCUUCCUCCCUCACUGCUCUGUGUGCAUCCCUCCAAAGCUGCACCUUUGGUCGAAGAGGACAGCCUUCCCCGAAUAGAGACAAACUGGUCUUCGGUCGAGAGUAUAUGAAUAGAUGCACUCCUCUGCUAGAACAUCCAAACAAGCUCUCAAGGUCCCAUUUUAUUCAAUAGGACAUAGAAAAAUUGAUAAGGGAG
ensembl:misc_RNA 7SK 7SK RNA